AAAGGCGGCAAGAUUCUGCACGUAUAAGUUUUUAACCAAUAUAGCCAUUUUGAAUCAUGAAUCAAUCCAUGGAUACCCGGAAAGGAAACAAGCUUCCCUCAAAACUUGUGAGUGAUAGCAUUUCAAUGGAUUCACUCUCUUUUAGUGGCCUUGUUUCUAUUCAAGACCAACAACCAAAGUUUCCUUCACCUCCUAACCAUGCUAAACACUACCAGGUAAACAAACAUGACCCGGAAUUCGAAUUUACAAACAGUAAAGCAAACUUGAAUUCUGUUGUCAAUCUAAUCAAGCUUACACCUGCUGAUCAACUUAUUUCCAAUGGUCAACUUCAACCACAGGCAUUUGCAUUUCAAACAACUCCGUCGUUGAUCCCAAAUCCACCCGGUUCCUCAAGACCAUUACUAGCAAAUCAUAUCAAUAGUGAAAUGUCAAGUAGGAAAACAGGAAGCACCAUGAAAUAUCAUGAACUUGGAAAAGCAAGCAAACAUACAAACAAGCAAAGCACCACGGCAAGGACAGGGUUUGGGCAGAAAAUGAAGUCUUUUCUAUCACCAUGCAAAGAAUGCCGAACCAUUAAGCCAGAUGCUGUUAAAGCACAAACUGUUCAAAGAGAAAGCUUCAAAUUAUAUUGAUACAAGACUUAUCCUCUAUGCAAUUGUUUCUUGCAAGACCAGAAAAUGUCAUAAGGAAUCUUCUCUUUCUAGUUAAAGUGGCGUCUGAAAAGAGUACAAGUGGCACGCUUCAUUUCAGCAUCAGUUACUGCAGUAUUAGACCCACAAACGUCAAAAAUCUGAAUGAUUCGUGAUAACCUAUUGAAAUCCUGAGCACACAAAGUCAUAAGCUUAAAUCAGGGAGAGGGUGAUAGGAAUUCCUAUUAGUUUCAGUUUCUGUAUAACAGUGAACCGAAGGAAAUACAAGGAAAAGGGUCAAGCCCCUAAGCCAGAGAGAACUCUCUAAGCUCCAACUAACAUCAAGGCUAAACCACUGCCAACCAUCACCUUGACUACAGAAUCCAUCAUGGUCUCACCUUUCAAAUGCCAUAUCAUGGUGAAGAAUGCCUGUCAUACAGUACACCACCUCAAAAAGUGUUUUAUUUGUGGCUGAGUGAGAGAUGAUGUGGUUUACCAAAAUUCAUUUCAUGACAGCCAGAGUGAGAGACCAUUGCUUAGGCCACAUCUGGCAGUAAUUCUUAACUGGGUUCUUAAAGCUAAACAUCUUAACUAGGUUCAACAUUGAAGGAGGAUGACAUGGAUACCAUGCAUAAGAACUGAUCUUAUGACUUAUAGAAGAAAUGGUUCUCUUUUUCACUAUUUUCAUCUCAAAUUUGUCUCGUGAUAAAUUUCAAAAAUUAUGUAAGAGACAAUAAUGAUAUUUCUUUUUGUGCCCUAACUGUGCUAUGAACAGCAAAACUGUUUUGCAUAGGGACAGUAUGAAACUUAUUUUAGAAAUUUACAAA